AUAAUGAUUGAUAUGUUUUAAUAUAAGAAACUUCUUAAGUAAGUUAUGUCAGCUCUUCUCAAAGUGUACAUUGAAGGAAGCUAGGUACAUAGAUGCAUCUGUUUCUCAUACUGUACAUAUUUGUACUCUGUAUUUAAAAAUAAUUACUAGUUAUGUUACACUGGUGCAGUUAAAAUGACCUAACACUGCACUAAUAGUUAUGUAAUACCAAUAUUUGUAGUUUGGGUCAUUGGGCCCUUUAUAUUGAAAAAAUAUAUGUGUGUCGUGAUUGAUGAUGUUUUACCAGAAUUGUGUAUUACCAGACAAUUUGUAACUAGGCAGUGUCAGCUCCUACAUUUAAAUGAUUGGAAGUAUCAUUUACAUUCACAGAGUUAAACAUUGACCUUUCCAGGUGCAAAAAGAAUGCCACAAGUUACACUGAAAACAAGAGAAGUUCACCUGCUUCCCAUAAUGAAGAAUCAGAUGCAUCAUCUUUUUCUGUGCAAAAAGAAGCUGAACACAUUUAUGCAGCCUCACCGUGUACCAAAAUCUGUUCUACUGGGACUGAACCCGAAGAAAAACCAAAGGCUGCAGUUGGUGAACACAACUAUUGUUUGGAUUUGCCACCAAAACAAAAGCUACCAUCUACAUUUUCAACUCAUGAGCUGAAGUUGGGAAACAGCCACAGCAGACAUAUUUACAUGGACUAAUGCAAGCAUUUGCAUCUGAGGACUUGGAGCAAGUUGUGACCUUACUUUUGUCCCACCCCAGUUCAAGAAAUAAAAUAAACGAGAGAGUGAUACAGCAGCUACAGUCAGACUGUCAAGAGCUAUCAUCAUUAUCAUCUCCAAUGGUUCUCAGGGAGCAAUCAAGUCUGCAGAAUCUUACAGAUAGCCAUGACUUUAUAGGUCAGGUAUUUCAGGAGAUGAAAAAAAGGGCACCAUUCUUGUUGGCUGUAAUGUCCACUGUAACUGGAUGUAUGGAUGGUGAAAUUCCACUCAAUAAAGUGGCUGCAAUAACGUCAUCAUACUCCAUACUGAUGCGUAUGCGAAACAUCCAUCUAACAGCAUGGCAUAAGAUGGUGUGAUGCAUUCUCAUAAGAGGACAUUUAGAAGAUCAGCUUGGGUACUCAGCCAUGCUGUAUGUUGGACACCUAAGGACUGCGGCCACUCCACAUUUACCUCUCCACGGAUAAAGAUAUAUAUAUAUGCACAUGUUUUUUCACAAGGAUCGUUUUUGAGGAACCUUAGAUCAAAUUCCAAGGUUAGUAUUUUAUUAGUGAACUGAGGA